CGGGGCGUGGCUCAGUUUGGCUAGAGCGCAACGUUCGGGACGUUGAGGUCACAGGUUCAAGUCCUGUCGCCCCGA
rnacentral:tRNA from 2 species